UGAGAACAGAGCCCCCCACGUGCAAAUUUCCCUCCCAGCUUGAGGGUACAUCCUCCCCUGGGCUGUUGGGAUUCACAGCUCUCUCCUCACACAGGGCAGAGAUCUCUGGGGAAGGUAGAGCUGUGCUCUAGAAGAAGAUGAGACUGCUGGGUAUUCUCCUGUGCCUGGUGACAGCCCCCCAGGGUGCCCUGUACCAGGUGCUG